rnacentral:miRNA from 1 species
CAUACACACACAUUUAUUUUCAUGUAUGUAUAUAUGUAUGUGUAUAUAUAUAUACAUAUAUAUAUAUAUAUAUAUAUAUAUAUAUACACAUACAUAUAUACAUACAUGAAAAUAAAUGUGUGUGUAUG